UGUGAAAGGUAAUUAGGAGGUGACAGAAGAGAGUGAGCACAC
rnacentral:sRNA from 1 species